AUUGAACGCUGGCGGCAGGCCUAACACAUGCAAGUCGAGCGGAUGAAGGGAGCUUGCUCCUGGAUUCAGCGGCGGACGGGUGAGUAAUGCCUAGGAAUCUGCCUGGUAGUGGGGGAUAACGUCCGGAAACGGGCGCUAAUACCGCAUACGUCCUGAGGGAGAAAGUGGGGGAUCUUCGGACCUCACGCUAUCAGAUGAGCCUAGGUCGGAUUAGCUAGCUGGUGGGGUAAAGGCCUACCAAGGCGACGAUCCGUAACUGGUCUGAGAGGAUGAUCAGUCACACUGGAACGGAGACACGGUCCAGACUCCUACGGGAGGCAGCAGUGGGGAAUAUUGGACAAUGGGCGAAAGCCUGAUCCAGCCAUGCCGCGUGUGUGAAGAAGGUCUUCGGAUUGUAAAGCACUUUAAGUUGGGAGGAAGGGCAGUAAGUUAAUACCUUGCUGUUUUGACGUUACCAACAGAAUAAGCACCGGCUAACUUCGUG
rnacentral:rRNA from 1 species